rnacentral:rRNA from 1 species
CAGCAGCCGCGGGAAUACGGAGGGUGCAAGCGUUAAUCGGAAUUACUGGGCGUAAAGCGCACGCAGGCGGUCUGUCAAGUCGGAUGUGAAAUCCCCGGGCUCAACCUGGGAACUGCAUUCGAAACUGGCAGGCUAGAGUCUUGUAGAGGGGGGUAGAAUUCCAGGUGUAGCGGUGAAAUGCGUAGAGAUCUGGAGGAAUACCGGUGGCGAAGGCGGCCCCCUGGACAAAGACUGACGCUCAGGUGCGAAAGCGUGGGGAGCAAACAGGAUUAGAUACCCGAGUAGUCCCUGUCUCUUAUAA